GAUGAACGCUGGCGGCGUGCCUAAUACAUGCAAGUCGAGCGAACAGACGAGGAGCUUGCUCCUCUGACGUUAGCGGCGGACGGGUGAGUAACACGUGGAUAACCUACCUAUAAGACUGGGAUAACUUCGGGAAACCGGAGCUAAUACCGGAUAAUAUAUUGAACCGCAUGGUUCAAUAGUGAAAGACGGUUUUGCUGUCACUUAUAGAUGGAUCCGCGCCGCAUUAGCUAGUUGGUAAGGUAACGGCUUACCAAGGCAACGAUGCGUAGCCGACCUGAGAGGGUGAUCGGCCACACUGGAACUGAGACACGGUCCAGACUCCUACGGGAGGCAGCAGUAGGGAAUCUUCCGCAAAGGGCGAAAGCUUGACGGAGCAACGCCGCGUGAGUGAUGAAGGUCUUCUGAUCGUAAAACUCUGUUAUUAUGGAAGAACAAAUGUGUAAGUACCUAUGCACGUCUUGACGGUACCUAAUCAGAAAGCCACGGCUAACUACGUG
rnacentral:rRNA from 1 species